UGUGAGGCAUGCUGGAGGUAUCAGAAGUGCGAAUGCUGACAUAAGUAACGAUAAAGCGGGUGAAAAGCCCGCUCGCCGGAAGACCAAGGGUUCCUGUCCAACGUUAAUCGGGGCAGGGUGAGUCGACCCCUAAGGCGAGGCCGAAAGGCGUAGUCGAUGGGAAACAGGUUAAUAUUCCUGUACUUGGUGUUACUGCGAAGGGGGGACGGAGAAGGCUAUGUUGGCCGGGCGACGGUUGUCCCGGUUUAAGCGUGUAGGCUGGUUUUCCAGGCAAAUCCGGAAAAUCAAGGCUGAGGCGUGAUGACGAGGCACUGCGGUGCUGAAGCAACAAAUGCCCUGCUUCCAGGAAAAGCCUCUAAGCAUCAGGUAACAUCAAAUCGUACCCCAAACCGACACAGGUGGUCAGGUAGAGAAUACCAAGGCGCUUGAGAGAACUCGGGUGAAGGAACUAGGCAAAAUGGUGCCGUAACUUCGGGAGAAGGCACGCUGAUAUGUAGGUGAAGUCCCUCGCGGAUGGAGCUGAAAUCAGUCGAAGAUACCAGCUGGCUGCAACUGUUUAUUAAAAACACAGCACUGUGCAAACACGAAAGUGGACGUAUACGGUGUGACGCCUGCCCGGUGC
rnacentral:rRNA from 1 species